GCUGGGUAUGGUGGUGCGUACCUGCAGUCCCAGCUACUCAGGAGGCUGAGGCAGGAGGUUCACUUGAGCCCAGGAGUUGGAGGCUGCAGUGAGCUAUGAUGGUGCCACUGCAUUCCAGCCUGGGCCAGAGAGCAAGACCCUGUCUCUU
rfam:Pan troglodytes isolate Yerkes chimp pedigree #C0471 (Clint) chromosome 11, whole genome shotgun sequence.